GCGAGCCGUAUACGCUUAAAGGCGUACGUACGGUUCUGAGGGAGGCGUUAUGAAACCUAUGUCAUUAAGGCGCACAACGUCUACCCUAC
rnacentral:ncRNA from 1 species